CUACGGGUGGCAGCAGUGAGGAAUAUUGCACAAUGGGGGGAACCCUGAUGCAGCAACGCCGCGUGGAGGAUGACGCAUUUCGGUGUGUAAACUCCUUUUAUAUGUCAAGAAAAUGACGGUAGCAUAUGAAUAAGCACCGGCUAACUCCGUGCCAGCAGCCGCGGUAAUACGGAGGGGUGCAAGCGUUACUCGGAAUCACUGGGCGUAAAGGACGCGUAGGCGGGUUGGAAAGUCAGGUGUGAAAUCCUACAGCUUAACUGUAGAACUGCACUUGAAACUUCUAAUCUAGAGUAUGGGAGGGGGAGAUGGAAUUAGUGGUGUAGGGGUAAAAUCCGUAGAUAUCACUAGGAAUACCUAAAGCGAAGGCGAUCUCCUGGAACAUUACUGACGCUAAGGCGUGAAAGCGUGGGGAGCAAACAGGAUUAGAUACCCUUGUAGUC
rnacentral:rRNA from 1 species